rnacentral:rRNA from 1 species
GAGUUUGAUUAUGGCUCAGGAUGAACGCUAGCGGCAGGCCUAAUACAUGCAAGUCGAGGGGCAUCUCUAGUUUGCGGACUAGAAGCGACCGGCGAACGGGUGCGUAACGCGUAUGCAAUCUACCUUGUACAGGGGAAUAGCUUUCGGAAACGAGAAUUAAUACCCCAUAGUAGGAAGAUAACGCCUGUUAUCUUUCUUAAAGCUUCGGUGGUACAAGCGGAGCAUGCGUCCCAUUAGCUAGUAGGUGAGGUAACGGCUCACCUAGGCGAUGAUGGGUAGGGGUUCUGAGAGGAAGAUCCCCCACACUGGCACUGAGACACGGGCCAGACUCCUACGGGAGGCAGCAGUAGGGAAUAUCGGUCAAUGGGCGCAAGCCUGAACCAGCCAUGCCGCGUGCAGGAAGAAGGCCCGUAAGGUUGUAAACUGCUUUUAUAGGAGAACAAACCCCUCCGGCGGGAGGGUCUGAGGGUAUCCUAAGAAUAAGCACCGGCUAACUCCGUGCCAGCAGCCGCGGUAAUACGGAGGGUGCAAGCGUUGUCCGGAAUUAUUGGGUUUAAAGGGUGUGUAGGCGGCUAAUUAAGUCAGAGGUGAAAUGCUAGAGCUUAACUUUAGAACGGCCUUUGAAACUAGUUAGCUUGAGUCAAGGAGAGGUAGGGAGAAUUUAUGGUGGAGCGGUGAAAUGCAUAGAUACCAUAAGGAAUACCGAUAGCGAAGGCCCCUUACUGGCCUUUGACUGACGCUGAGACACGAAAGCGUGGGUAGCCAACAGGAUUAGAUACCCUGGUAGUCCACGCCGUAAACGAUGAUCACUCGAUGUACCUUUUUCGAAGGGUGUAUCAAAGCGAAAGCGUUAAGUGAUCCACCUGAGAAGUACGCUCGCAAGAGUAAACUCAAG